GAUGAACGCUGGCGGCGUGCCUAACACAUGCAAGUGGAGCGACGAACCCGGACUUGUCCGGGGGCAAAGCCGCGAACGGGUGAGUAACACGUGGAUUAUCUGCCCCAAUGACCGGGACAACUCGAGGAAACUCGAGCUAAUACCGGAUGUGCUCUUCGGAGGAAAGGAAGCUUCGGCCUCCGCAUUGGGAUGAGUCCGCGGUGCAUUAGCUAGUUGGUGGGGUAAAAGCCUACCAAGGCGACGAUGCAUAGCUGGUCUGAGAGGACGAUCAGCCACACUGGAACGGAGACACGGUCCAGACUCCUACGGGAGGCAGCAGUGGGGAAUCUUGCGAAAUGCACGAAAGUGUGACGCAGCAACGCGGCGUGCGGGAAGAAGGUCUUCGGGUCGUAAACCGCUUUCAGUUGGGACGAGGGUUACACGGUGAAUAGCCGGCGUAACUGACGGUACCUUCAGAAGAAGCCCCGGCUAACUACGUGCCAGCCGCCGCCGUAA
rnacentral:rRNA from 1 species